UAAGUGUGAUUUGUGUUUCGGCUGUAGU
rnacentral:sRNA from 1 species